rnacentral:rRNA from 1 species
UCUAGCCAUGGGCAGGUUGAAGGUUGGGUAACACUAACUGGAGGACCGAACCGACUAAUGUUGAAAAAUUAGCGGAUGACUUGUGGCUGGGGGUGAAAGGCCAAUCAAACCGGGAGAUAGCUGGUUCUCCCCGAAAGCUAUUUAGGUAGCGCCUCGUGAAUUCAUCUCCGGGGGUAGAGCACUGUUUCGGCAAGGGGGUCAUCCCGACUUACCAACCCGAUGCAAACUGCGAAUACCGGAGAAUGUUAUCACGGGAGACACACGGCGGGUGCUAACGUCCGUCGUGAAGAGGGAAACAACCCAGACCGCCAGCUAAGGUCCCAAAGUCAUGGUUAAGUGGGAAACGAUGUGGGAAGGCCCAGACAGCCAGGAUGUUGGCUUAGAAGCAGCCAUCAUUUAAAGAAAGCGUAAUAGCUCACUGGUCGAGUCGGCCUGCGCGGAAGAUGUAACGGGGCUAAACCAUGCACCGAAGCUGCGGCAGCGACGCUUAUGCGUUGUUGGGUAGGGGAGCGUUCUGUAAGCCUGUGAAGGUGUGCUGUGAGGUAUGCUGGAGGUAUCAGAAGUGCGAAUGCUGACAUAAGUAACGAUAAAGCGGGUGAAAAGCCCGCUCGCCGGAAGACCAAGGGUUCCUGUCCAACGUUAAUCGGGGCAGGGUGAGUCGACCCCUAAGGCGAGGCCGAAAGGCGUAGUCGAUGGGAAACAGGUUAAUAUUCCUGUACUUGGUGUUACUGCGAAGGGGGGACGGAGAAGGCUAUGUUGGCCGGGCGACGGUUGUCCCGGUUUAAGCGUGUAGGCUGGUUUUCCAGGCAAAUCCGGAAAAUCAAGGCCGAGGCGUGAUGACGAGGCACUACGGUGCUGAAGCAACAAAUGCCCUGCUUCCAGGAAAAGCCUCUAAGCAUCAGGUAACAUCAAAUCGUACCCCAAACCGACACAGGUGGUCAGGUAGAGAAUACCAAGGCGCUUGAGAGAACUCGGGUGAAGGAACUAGGCAAAAUGGUGCCGUAACUUCGGGAGAAGGCACGCUGAUACGUAGGUGAAGCGACUUGCUCGUGGAGCUGAAAUCAGUCGAAGAUACCAGCUGGCUGCAACUGUUUAUUAAAAACACAGCACUGUGCAAACACGAAAGUGGACGUAUACGGUGUGACGCCUGCCCGGUGCCGGAAGGUUAAUUGAUGGGGUUAGCGCAAGCGAAGCUCUUGAUCGAAGCCCCGGUAAACGGCGGCCGUAACUAUAACGGUCCUAAGGUAGCGAAAUUCCUUGUCGGGUAAGUUCCGACCUGCACGAAUGGCGUAAUGAUGGCCAGGCUGUCUCCACCCGAGACUCAGUGAAAUUGAACUCGCUGUGAAGAUGCAGUGUACCCGCGGCAAGACGGAAAGACCCCGUGAACCUUUACUAUAGCUUGACACUGAACAUUGAGCCUUGAUGUGUAGGAUAGGUGGGAGGCUUUGAAGUGUGGACGCCAGUCUGCAUGGAGCCGACCUUGAAAUACCACCCUUUAAUGUUUGAUGUUCUAACGUGGACCCGUGAUCCGGGUUGCGGACAGUGUCUGGUGGGUAGUUUGACUGGGGCGGUCUCCUCCUAAAGAGUAACGGAGGAGCACGAAGGUUGGCUAAUCCUGGUCGGACAUCAGGAGGUUAGUGCAAUGGCAUAAGCCAGCUUGACUGCGAGCGUGACGGCGCGAGCAGGUGCGAAAGCAGGUCAUAGUGAUCCGGUGGUUCUGAAUGGAAGGGCCAUCGCUCAACGGAUAAAAGGUACUCCGGGGAUAACAGGCUGAUACCGCCCAAGAGUUCAUAUCGACGGCGGUGUUUGGCACCUCGAUGUCGGCUCAUCACAUCCUGGGGCUGAAGUAGGUCCCAAGGGUAUGGCUGUUCGCCAUUUAAAGUGGUACGCGAGCUGGGUUUAGAACGUCGUGAGACAGUUCGGUCCCUAUCUGCCGUGGGCGCUGGAGAACUGAGGGGGGCUGCUCCUAGUACGAGAGGACCGGAGUGGACGCAUCACUGGUGUUCGGGUUGUCAUGCCAAUGGCACUGCCCGGUAGCUAAAUGCGGAAGAGAUAAGUGCUGAAAGCAUCUAAGCACGAAACUUGCCCCGAGAUGAGUUCUCCCUGACCCUUUAAGGGUCCUGAAGGAACGUUGAAGACGACGACGUUGAUAGGCCGGGUGUGUAAGCGCAGCGAUGCGUUGAGCUAACCGGUACUAAUGAACCGUGAGGCUUAACCUUACAACGCCGAAG